GAGUGGGGUCAUCUUCAUCGUGCAUAUCUUAAUCUCGAAGAGAGUUCAGAUCUCUGAGUCAUCAAAACGGAGCGCCAGC